rnacentral:rRNA from 1 species
CAGUCGCCGCGGGAAUACGAAGGGUGCAAGCGUUAAUCGGAACUACUGGGCGUAAAGCGUGUGUAGGCGGUGAGUUAAGUCUGCUGUGAAAUCCCCGGGCUCAACCUGGGAAUGGCAGUGGAUACUGGCAAGCUAGAGUGUGUCAGAGGAUGGUGGAAUUCCCGGUGUAGCGGUGAAUGCGUAGAGAUCGGGAGGAACAUCAGUGGCGAAGGCGGCCAUCUGGGACAACACUGACGCUGAGGCACGAAAGCGUGGGGAGCAAACAGGAUUAGAGACCCCUGUAGUCCCUGUCUCUUAUACA